rnacentral:rRNA from 1 species
GAGAUGAACCAUGGCCACUUGAAACUUAAGGACACAGUGUCCAGAACUUCUUACGGGAGCACGCCGUCGGAAUUAUUGCCCAUUGCGGCAAGCUGAUGCAGUCAUUCCGGCUGCUGGAAGACAGGCCUAGGAUUGUAAAGCCACUUUUAGGUGAGGAGGGAGGGCAUUCACACUUAAUAACGUCGUGUUGAUUUGACGUUACUUGGCAGAAGAAAGCACCGGCUUAACUUCCUUGCCCAGGCAGCCGCGGUAAUUACGGAAGGGUGCAAGCCGUUAAUCGGAAUUUACUUGGGCGGUAAGGCGCACGCAGGGCGGUUUGUUUAAGUCAGAAGUGAAAUCCCGGCGCUUAACGUGGGAAACUGCAAUUGGAAACUGGCAAGCUAGGAUUCUUGUAGAGGGGGGUAGAAUUCCAGGUGUAGCGGUGAAAUGCGUAGAGAUCUGGAGGAAUACCGGUGGCGAAGGCGGCCCCCUGGACAAAGACUGACGUUUCAGGUGCGAAAGCGUGGGGAGCAAACAGGAUUUAGAUACCCUGGUAGUCCACGCUGUAAACGAUGUCGACUUGGAGGUUGUGCCCUUGAGGCGUGGCUUCCCGGAGCUAACCGCGUUAAGUCGACCGCCUGGGGAGUACGGCCGCAAGGUUAAAACUCAAAUGAAUUGACGGGGGCCCGCACAAGCGGUGGAGCAUGUGGUUUAAUUCGAUGCAACGCGAAGAACCUUACCUACUCUUGACAUCCACGGAAUUCGCCAGAGAUGGCUUAGUGCCUUCGGGAACCGUGAGACAGGUGCUGCAUGGCUGUCGUCAGCUCGUGUUGUGAAAUGUUGGGUUAAGUCCCGCAACGAGCGCAACCCUUAUCCUUUGUUGCCAGCACGUAAUGGUGGGAACUCAAAGGAGACUGCCGGUGAUAAACCGGAGGAAGGUGGGGAUGACGUCAAGUCAUCAUGGCCCUUACGAGUAGGGCUACACACGUGCUACAAUGGCAUAUACAAAGAGAAGCGAACUCGCGAGAGCAAGCGGACCUCAUAAAGUAUGUCGUAGUCCGGAUUGGAGUCUGCAACUCGACUCCAUGAAGUCGGAAUCGCUAGUAAUCGUAGAUCAGAAUGCUACGGUGAAUACGUUCCCGGGCCUUGUUCACACCGCCCGUCACACCAUGGGAAUGGGUUGCACCUCCCCUUUUCUAGCUUAACCUUCGGGAGGGCGCUUACCACUUUGUGAUUCCAGGAAGUGGGGGGGAAAAGUUACGA